CCAACUAAUUUGAGACACCUUGUACAAUAUUUGAGUAGUGCAUUUUGAACCUAUUAGUUCAUGGAGGCUUCCGUCUGUUCGGAGCAUCAAUGAAAGGACGGAGGGUGCCGGACUUCAAUGAGAUGAUUAUUUCUUCCACCAUUUGACUUUGUGACGUGAAUACGACAGAGAGGGAGAUAUAGUGUGUAUGAGUGUGUGUCUGUGUGUAGAGAGCGAGAGACUGUAUGUAUGUAUGUAUGUAUGUAUGUAUAUGUAUGUGUGUCUGUCCGCCCGCGCCGUCUCGGGCACUUAUGUGCAGACUCAAACUCAGUCGCUUGUAUCAUUAGCAUGCUGCUGAAAUCUCGGAAAUGUACCGCCUUCACCUCAACGGUGUGACUAUGAUGUGCUUCUGUGUAGAUCGUUGGAACGUUUAUCAAUUCUGACAACAACUCUUAUCUUGUUGGACUAUUUCAAUCAUGUUACCCAAUAAGUUGAUCCAAACCAAUUCCCAUGCAGAACGGGUUGUCUUAAAAUGAUCUAUCUAUCUAUCUUGUAUAAUCUAUUUUUUAAAAGCAAGGCAGUUUUAUAUAGUCUUGAAGUGCAUCCUUAGGUUGCAGUCACCAAGUUUAUGAAAAGUGUUCCGGGGAAUUUUCCCAGUAGGGCAGAAAUGUACGGCUCCCUAAAAUUCUGCAAUGUAGAAUGAGUAGAGUAAAUUAAAAAGGUGAUCAUUUUAUUUUAAAAUUCUUAUUUGAAGGUUUUAAGACACCAAUGGAAGCACCAUGUUCUCAACAACAAAGACUAUGUUGUUAAUUUGAGCCACCACUCACGCUCGAAGGUCUUCGGUCAUAAGCCUGACCCUCUCCAAAAGAGGCCUGUGCAUGUUUCCGCUCUUAAUUCUCCUCCUCCUCGCCAAGGCGUGGAGCUACGAGGCUCCCAAGGAAAAGCAGGAUGUGUUUGCAAAAAAAGCCUGCCCGGCUUUCCUGUUAUUUUUCAACGCCGCUUACCAGGCGGGGGCCACGGUGGAGCUGCCGUGCCACUGUAAGCCCGAAGAGGUGCAGUCAGUCGUUUGGUUCUAUAGGAAACACAAGUCCAGCUCAGAAGAGACCCGAGCCCUGACCGAUUACCAUGGGAACAAGCUGCUGGACUCAAGUCAAAUCCCCCACAAUGCCGACCUGCGCAGUCGCUUCUCAAUUCGUCUCUUCAGCCUUCUGAUCUUUCGAACAACUGUGGACGACUCGGGUGUUUAUAUCUGUGGAUCGGCCCGAGGCGACUACUUCUAUGCCUACGAUCUGGACAUCCAGGAGGUGCGGGAAUUCAGCUUCACGUCAAGGCACACUCCUGAAAGUCAGAGCAACUCGAUGGAAUACGUAAAGGGACAAAGCUCUGGUCAGCAGCUCUAUCAAGUCUUCACCACUUUCCGCCCGUGGUCACGGUGCGACCGCUGUGGCGUGCGGGGCGAGCAGGUCCGAGUGGGGCUCUGCUACGUCCGCUCCCGCUUCCUGCACGUGCGUUACAGGCGGGUCAACCACACCGUGGCGUCCUGCGGCUCAGGGGCGGUGCCUCAGGCAUUCGGUCACAUAAAGCAAAGCGGAACUGGAGCCAGGCUGGAGGUCAGAAGCUGCCGUGUGACUUGUCCAACUGAAGCGCCGCCUCCUUCCAAACUGGAUAAAAUGAUGGCAUCUGUGGGGCACAGUUCUGAUUCCAUAAAGAGCCAGGAGAUGCAUGUUUCCCACGUGAACCACCCAGCUGACCAAAUCCUGAUCCUCGGCUGCCCAGGGGCACAGCCAUACAUUGCAGUGGCGUGGGACAGAGGAUCUGAGCCCAUUUAUCGAUCACACCGUUUGGUCGGACGGGAUGCAAACGUCACGUCUUUGAGAAUUCAAAUUGAUGCUGGACAUCAUCUUGUCUUCACUCCUGCUCAGCUUCAGGAUUCGGGUGUCUACUUCUGCUGGCUAAAGGGGCGCCGUGUGACCGAAAUACACCUGCUGGUCUACCCCCAUUUUGGGCGGGGCAUGUUCUUCACAUCUCAUCCAGACUUGCCCUUGGCCUUGGAGAUCAUUUUCAAAUCAUAUGCUGCUAUGACAGCAGUGUUCUGCCUACUGAUUCUCAUUCGAGUCUGCAUUAGACAACUCCGGAGGGACACGCAUCGGGACCCAACUUAAUCGAGUUGCAGUUGGAGUUGGAGUUGGUCUUUUUUUUUUUUUUUUUUGUGGCAGCACCAAACCAGACUGUGAUGGAUGGACACAGGACUGAUUUGAUGGCUGUUGUGUAGAACUACCCCAACGUCUCUUGUGGCAGGCCGGGCUUCCUAUGAACCUGCAUGAAGUACAUCCUCUGCUGGGCCUCUUUUGAGGAUGGAGUUGGUCUCCUACUUCAGGCCCGGAGAAACUAAUUUUUCCAGAAGUUUGAAGGUCUUGACGGUUGACGCAGGGUACUUGAACAGCGUAAGGGAAAGUUCUGGCCAAGGAUGCUUCCUGAAGUCCACUAUCAUCUCUAGUCUUAAGCGUGUUCCACACCUGGUUUUGUCAGCUGGUCCAAGGUCCACCCGUGCCACUUCGUGUCAAUAUGCAACCCGUCACCAUCUUUGAUGAGGCCGAUGGUUAUGUUGUUUACUGCAAAUGUCAGAAUAAGUGCAAUCGUUUGGAGUCCAUUUGGACAUUUGUUGCAUACCCAUCCUAUGGAGGGUUUCCUGACGGGUACCAUUUGGCCAACUGAAAUGCAGCUUUGGUAGUCUGUGAACCAAAAACUCAGGCAUGGGAAGACUUUGGUGAAGCCAUUAAAAAAGACUUUCAGACCGGUUCAAGGAAAUUCUGAUCCACCAUCUUGUGUCUCAGGAGGGAGAAGCAGUGCACCGUCAACACUGUGUAUAGUGGGUAAGGGACACUGCUGACCUUUUAAAUUAGUGGGGAAUCGAACAAUAUCUAAAGACCAGCAGGACUCACUGGCCACAGUUAAGUUCAGUAUUCGUGACACUACCAUAAGAAAGACCCUGGCCAAAAAUCGCAUCCCCUGGAGAGCUCCCAUGCAAAAUGCUAUGCAGUCAGCAAAGAAUACAAAGGCUCAUCUCACAUUUGCCCCAAAACAUCUUGAUCCUCAAGACGUUUGGAGAAGCAUUCUGUUGACUGACAAGUCAAAAAUUGAAGUGCGAGGAGAACACAUGGAGGUGAUUUGUUCCACUGAAGCACCUCGUAGGCCUGAUGAAGCGGCGACUAGAGGCAACAAAAUGGAGAGAGUGUGAAGAGGAUGCCACCUGUGGAGGAACAAGAGUCCAACUCGUACUUUCUCAACAAAUGAGAGAAUAUACAACAGAAAUUUCAGUCCCCCCAACCCACCCUUUGGACGAUUGUCGCUCUUCUCUAACAGCACCCAAAUUCUCCAGUCUCUAAAACACCUGCAGGUCCUAUAUGAAGCCAUACAAGGCUCAAGCUAUUAGGAGUCAUUACAAGAUCACAUGCAACAAUUUAACAUUCAUAACUUCUACUCAGUUGCUGAACACAAGUGGUAAUAGUUACAUUACACAGUUGAAGGGCCAGGCGACAGUUGGCAUACGACUGAGCACAUCGGGAGGUUCUGGGUUUGAAUCUUGGCUCCAGCCUUCAUGUCUUGAGUUUGCUUGUUCACCACAUCAGGAGUUGAGUGUCUAAAGAUUUUGCAGCCAACCAUAACAUGAUGAAAAUCAAGUUAAAUUUGGUUAAUCAAUGUCAUCAUUGAUAUCUUUUCAAAACAGUACAGUGGUUCCCAACCAUUGCUGGACCACAAACAGCUCAAACAUGAAGACAUUUUGGUGGAGCGACAUGGAAAGUAAAUGAUUAAAAAUGAAAAUCACCAAUAUGUGGAAUGAUGGGGGCGCAGUGACUCACCUGGUAAAGCGUUGGCCUCACAGUUCUGAGGUCCCGGGUUCUAUCUUGGUCCCGCCUGUGUGGAGUUUGCAUGUUCUCCCCGUGCUUGCGUGGAUUUCCUCCAGGCACUCCGGUCUCCUCCCACAUCCCAAAAAUAUGCAACAUUGAUUGGACAUUCCAAAUUGCCCCUAUGUGUGAUUGUGAGUGCGGAUAUUUGUCUCCAUGUGCCCUGCAAUUGGUUGGCAACCAGUUCGGGGUGUACCCCGCCUCCUGCCCGUUGACGGCUGGGAUAGGCUCCAGUGCUCCCCGUGACCUCGUGAGGAUAAGCAGCAAAGACACUGGAUGAAUGGAUGGAUGGAUGUUGAAUGAUGUAAUACAGAAAAUGGUAAAAUAAACCCCCCUUAAAUUAUUUUUCUGGGUGUGAUUUACCAAAGUUUUCAUUAUUACGAGUUCAUUCACUACCAAACCAGCUGGUGGUGGUGUACAUGAGCUGUAGACUAGAGGGUAAGCACUGGUGCAUCUUCAGAUGUAAAUGCUGUGGCUGACUGAGGAAUAUGUCCUUUUGUUUUUUACAUAGGUACAUCAAAAAAUAGGUUAUUUCGCUAGAUCUCGGCUGUAAAGGUUUAAAUUUUUUGUAUUCUAUUUUGUAAAGUAUUGUAUGAUAUUGAUUGAGGCUAGGACAGUAAAAUUUAUUGGGUUAUGUAAGGUUUGUAUAUUGUGUACUUAAGGUUAAUUUGAACGUAAAAAGGCGCGUCACCUUCAUUUAAUUUUUUUUCAACGCUUUAAUUAGCUUUUUGGUUUGUUUAUAUACUUGUUUAUAUGAUUGUUUGUGUAGACCAUGUAUGGUAAAUAGGAAAAUAAAAUCAAAUCCAACUUUGGCUCAGCCACCAUUUUCCCUUUCCACAAAAUCUCCAAAGACACUUUUGCUGCCGUUUUUAAGUACUGUUA